rnacentral:lncRNA from 10 species
AGUCUGGGUCUGAGCUGAAACCUGCUGCAAGUCUGACGGUACCAAAUUACAUAUAUAUCUGUCAAAAUGAUGUAGGACCUAAAGUCUCUCUGUAAGUUGAUCCUUUUGACCCCAUGAUUAGGAGCUUCACAAUGUGGUACCACACCUGGAAACCUCCAGAACAAGAUCUCAAGGAAACACAGGAAAUUCCUGAAACAGCAAAACCCCCUAUGUGAAGACGUCUGUUAUUCCUUUGUGUAUCAGGAGCAUCACUGUUAAUUAACUGUUGAUACACUUAAAACAGCUUGGUUGGCAAUGUCCUUUUUGAAUAAAGAAGAGCCAGGUGUGUUUUUCAGGAUGAACUAGACAAUGCUGUCACAAGUUUACCUCUACAUCUUAUUGCCUUGGAAAAAUUUCCUGCAUAUCGUGGCACAAGAUGGUUGGCUCUCCAGGCAGCAGUUGGCGUUGUGAAUCAGUCAUCUCAGCAUGUGUCUCCAAGAUCCCACAGCAGGGGGAAAAAGAGGUGGAGGGUCACAUGCCUGGUGUUACAUACUUUGAGGCAGAGGUGGUAGGUGCCAUUUCUGCUCACAGCUCAUGGACCAGAACAAAGCCAUGCAUACCUGAGAGAGGACCAGAAAAUAUUCUGAAGCAGAUGGCUAUUUGGUCCGUGUUCUGACUAAAAGGAAGCCACACUCUGUCGAAAACAAGCUUUGUAAGAAAAUUUUGAAGUAUUUACUUAUAUCUAACCAUUCAUUCCACCUUUUCUCCCAAAUAACACUCUAAUAUCUUGAGACAUCUUGUCUAGGGCCAGAUUUCAUAAAUGCUUGUGAGGCAGGAGAAUAAGUUCCAGAGGCAGUUCACACUGCCUAAAGCCAAUUCACACUGACUUCCUAUAACUAAAUCUAAAGGAAAAUCUCAACUUUCCUCGCCCAAGUAACAAAAGAAUCAGAGGUUAUACUCCCUUUGCAACCUGCCCCUUUUCUGCCUGGCAGAUGAAAAAUGAAAAGUACCUAUGACUGGUCCCCUCCCACGACCAGCCAGACUGGUCACGGAUCACUACUUCAUUUACAUAGGGCGUAAACCGAGUAACCAAUGGGAAACCUCUAGAGGGUAUUUAAACCCCAGAAAAUUCUGUAACCGGUGGUCUCCAGCAGGUUGCUCAAUCUUGCUGCCACUCUGUGGGAUGUACUUUUGUUUCAAUAAAUCUGUGCUCUUCCUU